AGUGAACGCUGGCGGUAGGCCUAACACAUGCAAGUCGAACGGCAGCACAGAGGAGCUUGCUCCUUGGGUGGCGAGUGGCGGACGGGUGAGGAAUACAUCGGAAUCUACUCUGUCGUGGGGGAUAACGUAGGGAAACUUACGCUAAUACCGCAUACGACCUACGGGUGAAAGCAGGGAAUCUUCGGACCUUGCGCGAUUGAAUGAGCCGAUGUCGGAUUAGCUAGUUGGCGGGGUAAAGGCCCACCAAGGCGACGAUCCGUAGCUGGUCUGAGAGGAGGAACAGCAACACUGGAACUGGGACACGGUCCAGACUCCUACGGGAGGCAGCAGUGGGGAAUAUUGGACAAUGGGCGCAAGCCUGAUCCAGCCAUACCGCGUGGGUGAAGAAGGCCUUCGGGUUGUAAAGCCCUUUUGUUGGGAAAGAAAUCCAUCUGGUUAAUACCCGGGUGGGAUGACGGUACCCAAAGAAUAAGCACCGGCUAACUUCGUGCCAGCCGCCGCGGUAA
rnacentral:rRNA from 1 species